rnacentral:misc_RNA from 1 species
GUUGGUGAACCAGCGGAGGGAUCAUUACCGAGUUUACAAACUCCCAAACCCUUUGUGAACCUUACCUAUCGUUGCUUCGGCGGAUCCGCCCCGGCCGGCCCCUCGGGGCCUCCGGAACCAGGCGUCCGCCGGAGAACCCAAACUCUUUGUUUUACUUUGUUUUCUCCUCUGAGUGGAUUUAUACAAAUAAAUAAAAACUUUCAACAACGGAUCUCUUGGUUCUGGCAUCGAUGAAGAACGCAGCAUCUGA